AGGGGAAAAUGCAGAAGAGAGAGCAUUCAACAGAGUACUCAAAGAUGAACGCCCGCAGACGCUUGAAAGAGACAAAACUGGAGCUUAAGUACCGAAGAGACAUCUGCUUACAGGCCCGUGAGCUGGGAUGCAAAGAGGAAUAACAGAAUAAUUCAACGGUCGCCUGCUUUAUUAAAUCAUUAAAUUGAAAUAUAGAUUGUUACUGUUAAAAAUAAACUUUUUAAAUCCAAAAGAGAUUGUGUCCUUAUGAUUAACAUACAUUGGUUACAAUGUGUAAAAAUAAAAUCUGUGGAUGAUGU